ensembl:miRNA MIR432 microRNA 432
UGACUCCUCCAUGUCUUGGAGUAGGUCAUUGGGUGGAUCCUCUAUUUCCUGAUGUGGGCCACUGGAUGGCUCCUCCAUGUCUUGGAGUAGAUCA